rnacentral:misc_RNA from 1 species
AAGCCGUUGAGAAGGGCAAGAAGCUCGCAGCGGAAGCGGCGUAAUCGCGAUGGCGACCUUCCACUUCAAUCUCGUAUCGCCUGAACGAAUCGCCUUCUCGGGCGAAGUCGAGCAGGUCGAUCCGGCGUCGAGGGCGAUCUCGGCGUGAUGGCCGGGCAUUCGCCGCUGGUCACGACGAUCCGUCCUGGCGUCAUGACGAUUACCGCUGGCGGCAAGCACGAGAAGGUCAUCG